rnacentral:rRNA from 1 species
UCAAAAACAUGUCUUUUUGGUAAUAAUUUAAAGUCUAAUCUGCCCACUGAUAAAAUUAUUAAAGGGCUGCAGUAUAUUGGCUGUACAAAGGUAGCAUAAUCAUUAGUCUUUUAAUUGAAGACUUGUAUGAAGGAUUUGAUGAAAUAUAAACUGUCUCUAGUUUAAAAACAUAAAUUAAUUUUUUAAUUAAAAAGUUAAAAUAAUCUUAAAAGACGAGAAGACCCUAUAAAGUUUUAUAUUUUAUUUAUUUAUUUUUAAUUAUAAAAAUAAAUAAAAUAAUUAAUAUUAAUUAUUUUGUUGGGGUGAUAAAAAAAUUAAAUAAACUUUUUUUUAAAGAUAACAUUUAUAAGUGAAAAUUUGAUCCAUUAUUAAUGAUUAAAAGAAAAAAUUACUUUAGGGAUAACAGCGUAAUUUUUUUUUUUAGCUCAAAUAAAAAAAAAAGUUUGCGACCUCGAUGUUGGAUUAAGAUAAAAUUUAAAUGCAAAAGUUUAAAAUUUUGAUCUGUCCGAUAAUUAAAAUCUUACAUGAUCUGAGCU